GGAGGGUUCGCAUAGUGGUCUAGUGCGCACGCUUGGAAAGCGUGUAUACCGCAAGGUAUCGAGGGUUCAAAUCCCUCACCCUCCG
rnacentral:tRNA from 1 species